UCUGGUGGUUUGGCGCUGUGGUCACACCUGAUCUCAUUCCGAACUCAGAAGUUAAGCGCAGUAGCGGCGAUGAUACUCGUAAGGGGCCCUUUUUCUCUUUUUAUGUUGCUACAUGGU
rnacentral:rRNA from 1 species